UUUUUUUAUUUCAUUAUUUGAAAGUUUAUCCAUUUAUCUACAAGUUUUGAACAUUGAAAUAUGUCAUUUUUAACUUUAAAUAUUGUUUUUAGUCAUUUUUCUAGAGCAUGUAUAAUGUUUAUUUCAUCUAAUUCCGAAUCUACAUGUAAAUAAUACCCUUGGUAACGCAUUGAAUACUUUUGAGUAGUCAUAUUCGACCUAGGCAUAUUUGGCAUCAAUGAAACCGUCGUUUCUUACACUUUCCUAAAAUAACCGUAUCUCCGAAAUAAUAUAAAUAGCGUUUCGGCUUUGAACGGAAACCCGUGGUCACCGAGAGUGUAAAAUAUAUUUAUUUAUAGUAUCUUAUUAUUUCCGACAAAAUGAUUGGUCGGCAUUGGGCUUCCGCCCCUAUCGACAUUAGUUUGAACAUAAACAAAACAUGGUUGUUUACGUUUCAUUGAUGAUAUAGUUUUAGAUGCUCUACCUGUUGACUUAUUAUUCAACUUCUAAAUCUAGAUCUAGCAUGAAAACUAAAAAGAAUAGACAUUAGUCUAGAUUCGUCAUUCUAGAUCUAGACAUUAUAAGACUAUUAGCCGGCAGGCUAGGCUGAGAUGAGGCCCUAUCGACAUCGCUAUAUUGAUUAUUCAUUCAAAAUUCAUAUUCCCAUCAACAUGAUCAACUAGAUCUAAACAAAAACAUCCUUACCACAUGAUAACUGGUGCCUCUCAAUCAAGUAGGCCUAAAGCCUAUCAAAGCUUGCAAUACACAUGUGAUCUAGAUCUAGCUGGAUUAUCAACAGUUUCACUACUACAAGAUCUGAUCUAGACUUAGACCUAGAUAAUAACUAAUUUUCUUCUCUACAAGUUCUAGUUCUAGUCUAGUUACCACUUUGACAUUCACUUUGGAAACAAGACUCAACUACCCAGGUUCUUCGGCAUUGAUGCAAUCAACUGAAAUUUUAUGGAAAAGAUCAGGGCAGAAGUUUAGACAGAGAUAAACAACCUUGUCUGAUGGAAACACCAGGUUGUUUUUGAGAGUUUUAUGAACAGAUCUGAGCCCCAAGGUAUUGUCGUAAAACAGAACAAUUCGUCGGCCUUACAGGUUUGGAACUACUUGGUUCUCUCCGCAGCCAUGUUUUAUUCUGAAGUAAGGAUAAGAUCAGCCUAGGUGACCUGGGCUAUGGUAAUUCAACUAAGAAUGCUAUAAAAAAACAACCUUUCUACAUGCUAUGCAAUAGCUAUAAGAAAUUAUCAUCAUGUGGACAAAAUAAGAAAUGCCAUUUUAGCCACUAUUCGCCACUGGAUUUCUUCUACCAAACCACAUCACCCAACCGGAGUUUCUUCAUGGUGUUAUUUUAACUUUGCUGACCCACUGGACAAAGUUCCUGUAAAAGUAUUUAAUGUGUUAGCAUUUCUUAAAAUAUGAUUUACUUGCUAAUCUCUUGGAACAUUUGUAUCGGCAGUUGUCAUAUCAAAACCUUUACAGUGGCGCCUCUCGGGAGCCACCCAGAAUGCAAAUGAGACGAUUCACCCAAAAGUAACUAAAGCAAAACAAAAUGUAUCUAAUUUAAAAGAAUAAACUUUUCAGUCCUUGGAUCUGUUGGAAAUUUGGCUUUGGAUUUUUGUAUGACUUAAAAAAUGAUUGCAUGUUUCCAUUACUAUUCAUAAUCAUCAACUUGCAAAAAAUGGGACCUAAAAAAAACCCUGUCAAACU